rnacentral:rRNA from 1 species
UAGCCGUAAACGAUACUCGCUAGGUGUCGACCACGGUGCGACCGUUGUCGGUGCCGUAGGGAAGCCGUGAAGCGAGCCACCUGGGAAGUACGGCCGCAAGGCUGAAACUUAAAGGAAUUGGCGGGGGAGCACAACAACGGGUGGAGCUUGCGGUUUAAUUGGAUUCAACGCCGGAAAUCUUACCGGGACCGACAGCAACAUGAAGGCCAAGCUGAAGACUUUGCCGGAUUAGCUGAGAGGUGGUGCAUGGCGUCAGUGACU